UGCCAGCCGCCGCGGUAAUACGUAUGGUGCGAACGUUGUUCGGAAUCACUGGGCAUAAAGAGCACGUAGGCGGUCUGGUAAGUCUGAUGUGAAAUCCCUCGGCCCAACCGAGGAACUGCAUCGGAUACUGCCGGACUCGAGUACAGUAGGGGAGAGUGGAAUUCCUGGUGGAGCGGUGAAAUGCGUAGAUAUCAGGAGGAACGCCCGUGGCGAAAGCGACUCUCUGGACUGUAACUGACGCUGAGGUGCGAAAGCUAGGGGAGCAAACGGGAUUAGAUA
rnacentral:rRNA from 1 species